AGCAUGUGCCUCUGGUCCCAGCCUUCCUAUCCAGGCCUUUCCUCCAUGGGCAGGCCCAUUGGUGUCCUCAGAGAUCCAGCUGUGUUCUCCCCAAACCCUAAGGCCCUUCAGCUCUGGUACUUCAAAGGGCUUAGGAGCAUCCAGGCCAGCAUUACCUUUGUGUGUGUUAUCAGCUCUGUGCCAGGAACUUCACAUAUGCUCUCACUGAAUCAUCACAUCAAUCCCACAGGGUAGAAUUAUUAUUCACAUUUUAUUUAUUUUUAUGUGUUUAUUUUAGGGACAGGAUCUCUCUCUCAUCCUGACUGGAGUACAGUGAUGACAUCCCAGCUCACCGCAGCUUCGACUUUCCAGGCUCAGGUGAUCCUCCCACCUCAGUCUCCUGGGAGACUACAGAUCAACUAGCAGUGAAGGCGAGUUCCAGUUCCUCCAUGUCCUCGCCAACACUUUCAGCAACUUUAAAAGGCACAGCUUUGCUUCUGUGAAGUGGGGAGCAUGUCUAGAGCUCUGUGGUUCAAAGAUUCUGGACACAUUUGAAAGGUGAAAGAAGCCAGGACACCUGGAGCAUUGCAAGCAACGAGCAGAGUGAUGGAGAUGAGGCUGGAGAGCAAGGCAGGAGCUGGGUCAUGUGGUGCCUGGGAGCUGACAGGACCAGGAAGAGGAUGUGAGUCUCCAAUUCCUUUAUGAAUCUGCUGGCCAAGCAGAGAGCAGAUUCGGUAAUCGUAGAUGCUGCUGCUUCUAUCUCUUUUUCUAAUAUCUCAAGACAUUCUAAU
rnacentral:lncRNA from 1 species